GUCUACGGCCAUGCCACCCUGAACACGCUCCAUCCCGUCUGAUCUUGGAAGCUAAGCAGGGUUGGGCCUGAUUAGUACUUGGACUACCCAGGAAGACCAAGUGCUAUAGCCA
rnacentral:rRNA from 1 species